CGGACCGACGCGGAGAAACGAAAGAAGUGGAGGGUGCGGACCCUUUUGCGAGCGGCGGAGAAAAUAUCCGGGUAUGUAAGAAAGGAUUUUAUUUUUUCUUGAGGUGUUUGGGUUUGGAAACUGUCGCUUGCUGUUCCUGACACGGAAACUUCUGGGACUGGGGGCUGAGAGGGAGGACGACGAUGCCGAUAGGUAGAUCGUAGAAAGGAGCUGUCUUGCUUAGUUACUGCUGCUCUCUUUCUCGAUCUUUUUUUGGGUUCUGGCGGGAAAGCGGUAUGAGGUGGGCGGCGAGGCCGGACACGCCGGAGGUGGUGAGGGUGAGCGAAGCCUUGCCCGAGUCCAGCUUCCGCGUGCUCGACUAUGUCUUCUCGCAGGUGGAGUAGUUUUGGAGAAGAAGUUUGGAAUUCUGAUAUUGAAUGUUGCGGUAGAUGUUCUUCAUGUGCAAAAUCUCUAUAUGAAGCAGAGUUUCAAAUUGGAGGAAAGGAAAACCAAUCUUUUGUGUAUCCAAUCCUGGGACAUUGCUCGCCAAAAUCUUCAACUUUGUUACUCUUGUUGGUGGUCCCUUUAAAAGGUGCAGCAGCAUAAAAGACCAAUAUGAUAAUGUGGAAUUUGAGUGCAUAACUCAGCAUGAAGAAAACCUAAAUGGUAGUGCUGUGUUAGUGUAUAAAUUUCAUGAUGGAGAGUCCAGAUCGAAAAAUAUGACAUGGCGCCUGCAUGAAAAAGAUGGCAAUGUAUCUCUUCUAGCAUAUAAUAAUUUUGAAGGGACAGAAAAAACAGUUUUCAUGACAACUUGAAUACGAAUGCUGCCAGUUCUGAUAAUGAAUAUGCAUUGCCAGAUUAUUCUAUUGAAGCUGAAUGGGUUUCUUGAGAUUUGACCUACCAAAACAUUCAUGAUGCUGAUAUGGUUCUUCUUGAUUCAGAGCUACCGGGUGCCUUAUUGAGCUUGCUCACCAGAAGUGAAGAUUCACUAUGGAAAGGUGGUAAAUAUAAACAUGAAAUUAUAACUUUUGGUCAGGCUUUAGAUUCUGGAGAAUCGUCUAUACCUACUUUGGAAGUUGUCUUGGAUGAAGCAGCAGACAUCCGAAGUGUUGAUUAACCUCAUCAUGACAAUAUCAGUGCUGAAAAUUUCUUGUUCCCAGCUGUUAAUUCAUCCAAAGAUAACACAAAGUUGAGUCUCAUAUCAGAGAUAACUUCAGAUGAACAUGGCACAAACAAAAAUUGGGAAAAUGGGGAUAUUUCCCAGAAUUACAGUUUGUGUACUGAAUUUAAAGAUGUAGGUUCAGCUUUUAGAACUAGUGAAUGGAUUCUACCAAGGCAGUUUGUUGAGCUUGAUGAUACUCAGAUAACAGUCUCUGAGGGUCAAGAUUUUACAGGAAUAUUAUAUACUUUCUUGAUGACUACAUGCUCUGCACCUUGUUAUAAAAUUUUAGAGGCAGAAAGAACAAUGCUUUUGGGCACAGCAAUGCCGGAAAAGGCAUAUGUUUAUAAUGAUGAUCUACCAAGGGAUACAAACCAGCAACUUAAUGAUUUAGAAGUGCGUAGAGAUGAAGAUGCCGUAAUUGAUAGUGUAUCAACUGUAAAUUGAGCUUGUACCAACUUGAUCAGUGCUUGGAGUGAAUUAAGACCAGACAACCCUGUCACAGAAAAUGAACCUGAGAUGGCAAUGGACAUGGAUGGACAAAGUAAUAGUUUAUAUCAUGAUCCACAAGAAGCAAACAGAGAUUUAAUGGUUGAAGUUGGAUCAAACCUCUUCAGGAAAAAGAUUGGACAAAAUAGAUCCAACCAUCAUAAGGAGCACGAGAAUACCUUCGAAUCUUUCAGAGAAAGCAGUUCAGAUUUGAUUGGAUUGGAUACUAAUUAUGAGCAUUCAAUGUCUGCUUCUACCACAGAUGAUUCAUGCUUGUCAACCGAUUGUGACUAUACAGUGAACAAACUCUUCUUAUGGAAGAAAAAAAUAAUGAACAUUUACAUUCAUCAGUAACCACUGCAGUGUUUUCUGUUCACGACUCUAGUCCUGUGUGCCUGCAGCAUUCAGAUAAAAUUGUUCCAAACAAUGCAUACAAGACCUCCCCACAAAUGAUGAACAAUAUUGGAGGGAGAAAUAUCAAUAAUAACCUUGAUCAGAAAUCAAAAUGAGAUUUGUUGGUUGGUGACUGGAGGAGUUGAAGUGACUAAGAACUUUCAAGUACCCUGCAGCUGUUUCUCAAAAGAUGUUCCUUGUAUGGAAUAUAUGGGCUACAUCACCUGAACCCUUUGUACUUCUGAACCAGCUGAUUGUUCUGCUACUGUUCAUACUGGUGCUCCAGCAAACUUUUAGCGAUGACCACACUAGGACUCAAGCAAGUUCGCCGUGCUCAAAUCCUGGAAUUCUAGCUGAAGAGAAAGGUGAUGUCUAUGUUGAGACAAACUUGCAGGUUAGGUAUCAAGCUCAUCGUCUCAUGCAUGAUGUUAGCAUGAGUAUAAACCACACAGUUCCAGAUUCUACUGAAGAAAGAGACGAGGUGAAGCUGUGGUAAAAGCAAUGAGGGAACUGUAGCUGCAACAAGAAACCCGAGAAAGAAGGUGCACAAGUCGAUCUCUGGUAGCGUCACAUUGAUCGGUGCACUGCUUGUUCUCCUUCAUCUGAGGAGAAACAGAGAGAAAGAGAAAGUUUGCUGCACAAUUGUUUCUCUACAAAAUAAAGAAACAUGUCAAGAACUUUACACACAAGACAAGAUGGAGAUCGGAAGAAGCUUAAGCUUUAAGGCCAGAAUAGACUCCACUUGAAGCAGGAGUUGGUCUUCAACGUCUUGCUGUAAAUUAGAAAUAACAUGGAGAAUGAAAUAGCUGCACAUCUAAUAGAAUCUACAUUGUCUGAUGACCAUAUUUCAAGUGCUCCAACAAGUUUUUGAGACACCACUUGCACUGUGUUUGAUAAUCCACAACGUCGCCAUGGAAAGCUGCUGUGUUUGACAAUCUACAAGUUAUUGGUCAUUUUUUCAAUUGAUAGGUUUCUCUGUAGUGACAAACUUGAUGAUAUCAAUUACCAGAACUAUUAUUUUGACUACCACCAACAAUGUUCCGGAUUGCAUUGAAAGAUAUCAAAGAUUGGCUGGAAUUCUCAUCA